rnacentral:rRNA from 1 species
UUUUGUAUAAUGGGUCAGCGACUUAUAUUCUGUAGCAAGGUUAACCGAAUAGGGGAGCCGGAGGGAAACCGAGUCUUAAUUGGGCGUUAAGUUGCAGGGUAUAGACCCGAAACCCGGUGAUCUAGCCAUGGGCAGGUUGAAGGUUGGGUAACACUAACUGGAGGACCGAACCGACUAAUGUUGAAAAAUUAGCGGAUGACCUGUGGCUGGGGGUGAAAGGCCAAUCAAACCGGGAGAUAGCUGGUUCUCCCCGAAAGCUAUUUAGGUAGCGCCUCGUGAAUUCAUCUCCGGGGGUAGAGCACUGUUUCGGCUAGGGGGCCAUCCCGGCUUACCAACCCGAUGCAAACUGCGAAUACCGGAGAAUGUUAUCACGGGAGACACACGGCGGGUGCUAACGUCCGUCGUGAAGAGGGAAACAACCCAGACCGCCAGCUAAGGUCCCAAAGUCAUGGUUAAGUGGGAAACGAUGUGGGAAGGCCCAGACAGCCAGGAUGUUGGCUUAGAAGCAGCCAUCAUUUAAAGAAAGCGUAAUAGCUCACUGGUCGAGUCGGCCUGCGCGGAAGAUGUAACGGGGCUAAACCAUGCACCGAAGCUGCGGCAGCGACACUGUGUGUUGUUGGGUAGGGGAGCGUUCUGUAAGCCUGUGAAGGUGUGUCGUGAGGCAUGCUGGAGGUAUCAGAAGUGCGAAUGCUGACAUAAGUAACGAUAAAGCGGGUGAAAAGCCCGCUCGCCGGAAGACCAAGGGUUCCUGUCCAACGUUAAUCGGGGCAGGGUGAGUCGACCCCUAAGGCGAGGCCGAAAGGCGUAGUCGAUGGGAAACGGGUUAAUAUUCCCGUACUUGGUGUUACUGCGAAGGGGGGACGGAGAAGGCUAUGUUGGCCGGGCGACGGUUGUCCCGGUUUAAGCGUGUAGGUGUGUGUUCCAGGUAAAUCCGGUUCACUUUAACACUGAGGCGUGACGACGAGGCACUACGGUGCUGAAGCAACAAAUGCCCUGCUUCCAGGAAAAGCCUCUAAGCAUCAGGUAACAUCAAAUCGUACCCCAAACCGACACAGGUGGUCAGGUAGAGAAUACCAAGGCGCUUGAGAGAACUCGGGUGAAGGAACUAGGCAAAAUGGUGCCGUAACUUCGGGAGAAGGCACGCUGACACGUAGGUGAAGUGAUUUACUCAUGGAGCUGAAGUCAGUCGAAGAUACCAGCUGGCUGCAACUGUUUAUUAAAAACACAGCACUGUGCAAACACGAAAGUGGACGUAUACGGUGUGACGCCUGCCCGGUGCCGGAAGGUUAAUUGAUGGGGUCAGCGCAAGCGAAGCUCCUGAUCGAAGCCCCGGUAAACGGCGGCCGUAACUAUAACGGUCCUAAGGUAGCGAAAUUCCUUGUCGGGUAAGUUCCGACCUGCACGAAUGGCGUAAUGAUGGCCAGGCUGUCUCCACCCGAGACUCAGUGAAAUUGAACUCGCUGUGAAGAUGCAGUGUACCCGCGGCAAGACGGAAAGACCCCGUGAACCUUUACUAUAGCUUGACACUGAACAUUGAGCCUUGAUGUGUAGGAUAGGUGGGAGGCUUUGAAGCGUGGACGCCAGUCUGCGUGGAGCCGACCUUGAAAUACCACCCUUUAAUGUUU